GCCAUUUAUGGAGGUAAAGUAAACCAAAAAAUUUUGUGGUGAAACUAAAAGAUUAUUCUUUUGCCCCAAAUUAAAAGUUAAACACACGCCCCAAUUUGGAUAGCUUGACGGUUACGGAAGUAUAGAAAAGUAUAAGACAUUAAUCACAAGUCACCAGUUACAAUAGUUAUUACUUAUUACUUAUUAAACUACCUAUAAACUCUAAUGAAUAAUUAUUAAUAUCGUUGAUCCCCCGAUCACCACAAGAACGAUGUUGUCGUCAUACUCGUUGUUUAAAAUUAACGAACUUUUUUAGAGCCGUUUGUAUAUAUAGAUUGUAAGAUAGAUGACACAUGCAAGUUUAACUAAGCUCCCACUUACAAUUGAAUGCUAAUGAUGAAUGUGAGUUUGGUAUUUGUAGUUUGGGUGCUGUUAUUCGGUAUUUAAAGCGGUGUAAAAUGGACUUCCAACUUUUAUCUAGAGGAAGAUUUGACAUAUUAUAUAAACCAGUUGAUAUUGAAUCUGUUGAAUUAUCCAAUCAAGAUAAUAUUAACAGCAAACUUAUGAUACUUGACACAAUAACUCUAGAAAACCUGCAUAUAUUAAAAAACUGCUGGUUCAUAUACAGGAACAUUACUAAACAAGUUAAAUCAUUGUUUUACACCAGGGAUCUCCAAACUACGGCCUAACCUCGAACAAAUUUUAACCGGCCUAC